rnacentral:rRNA from 1 species
AGAGGGUGCGAGCGUUAAUCGGAAUUACUGGGCGUAAAGCGCACGUAGGUGGGAUAGCAAGUCGGAUGUGAAAUUCCUGGGCUCAACCUGGGCAUGUCAUUCGAAACUGCGAUUCUAGAGUAUAGUAGAGGGAAGUGGAAUUUCCGGUGUAGCGGUGAAAUGCGUAGAUAUCGGAAGGAACACCAGUGGCGAAGGCGACUUUCUGGACUAAUACUGACACUGAGGAGCGAAAGCGUGGGGGAGCGAACAGGAUUAGAUACCCUGGUAGUCCACGCUGUAAACGAUGAGUACUAGCCGUUGGGGUGAUAACCCAUCUUAGUGGCGCAGCAAACGCGAUAAGUACUCCGCCUGGGAUUACGGCCGCAAGGUUA